rnacentral:rRNA from 1 species
GCUUAACACAUGCAAGUCGAGGGGCAUCAGGUAGAAAGCUUGCUUUCUUUGCUGGCGACCGGCGCACGGGUGAGUAACACGUAUCCAACCUGCCCUUUACUCGGGGAUAGCCUUUCGAAAGAAAGAUUAAUACCCGAUAGCAUAAUGAUUCCGCAUGGUUUCAUUAUUAAAGGAUUCCGGUAAAGGAUGGGGAUGCGUUCCAUUAGGUUGUUGGUGAGGUAACGGCCCACCAAGCCUUCGAUGGAUAGGGGUUCUGAGAGGAAGGUCCCCCACAUUGGAACUGAGACACGGUCCAAACUCCUACGGGAGGCAGCAGUGAGGAAUAUUGGUCAAUGGGCGCUAGCCUGAACCAGCCAAGUAGCGUGAAGGAUGAAGGCUCUAUGGGUCGUAAACUUCUUUUAUAUAAGAAUAAAGUGCAGUAUGUAUACUGUUUUGUAUGUAUUAUAUGAAUAAGGAUCGGCUAACUCCGUGCCAGCAGCCGCGGUAAUACGGAGGAUCCGAGCGUUAUCCGGAUUUAUUGGGUUUAAAGGGAGCGUAGGUGGACUGGUAAGUCAGUUGUGAAAGUUUGCGGCUCAACCGUAAAAUUGCAGUUGAUACUGUCAGUCUUGAGUACAGUAGAGGUGGGCGGAAUUCGUGGUGUAGCGGUGAAAUGCUUAGAUAUCACGAAGAACUCCGAUUGCGAAGGCAGCUCACUGGACUGCAACUGACACUGAUGCUCGAAAGUGUGGGUAUCAAACAGGAUUAGAUACCCUGGUAGUCCACACAGUAAACGAUGAAUACUCGCUGUUUGCGAUAUACAGUAAGCGGCCAAGCGAAAGCAUUAAGUAUUCCACCUGGGGAGUACGCCGGCAACGGUGAAACUCAAAGGAAUUGACGGGGGCCCGCACAAGCGGAGGAACAUGUAGUUUAAUUCGAUGAUACGCGAGGAACCUUACCCGGGCUUAAAUUGCAGUGGAAUGAUGUGGAAACAUGUCAGUGAGCAAUCACCGCUGUGAAGGUGCUGCAUGGUUGUCGUCAGCUCGUGCCGUGAGGUGUCGGCUUAAGUGCCAUAACGAGCGCAACCCUUAUCUUUAGUUACUAACAGGUUAUGCUGAGGACUCUAGAGAGACUGCCGUCGUAAGAUGUGAGGAAGGUGGGGAUGACGUCAAAUCAGCACGGCCCUUACGUCCGGGGCUACACACGUGUUACAAUGGGGGGUACAGAAGGCAGCUAGCGGGUGACCGUAUGCUAAUCCCAAAAUCCUCUCUCAGUUCGGAUCGAAGUCUGCAACCCGACUUCGUGAAGCUGGAUUCGCUAGUAAUCGCGCAUCAGCCACGGCGCGGUGAAUACGUUCCCGGGCCUUGUACACACCGCCCGUCAAGCCAUGGGAGCCGGGGGUACCUGAAGUACGUAACCGCAAGGAUCGUCCUAGGGUAAAACUGGUGACUGGGGCUA